GAUGAACGCUAGCGGCAGGCUUAAUACAUGCAAGUCGAGGGGCAGCACGGUAUAGCAAUAUAUGGGUGGCGACCGGCAAACGGGUGCGGAACACGUACACAACCUUCCGGUGAGCGGGGGAUAGCCCAGAGAAAUUUGGAUUAAUACCCCAUACUAUAAUGAUCAGGCAUCUGGUUAUUAUCAAAGGCUUCGGCCGCUUAUUGAUGGGUGUGCGUCUGAUUAGGUAGUUGGCGGGGUAGAGGCCCACCAAGCCUACGAUCAGUAGCUGAUGUGAGAGCAUGAUCAGCCACACGGGCACUGAGACACGGGCCCGACUCCUACGGGAGGCAGCAGUAAGGAAUAUUGGACAAUGGACGCAAGUCUGAUCCAGCCAGGCCG
rnacentral:rRNA from 1 species